rnacentral:rRNA from 3 species
AGAGUUUGAUCAUGGCUCAGAUUGAACGCUGGCGGCAGGCCUAACACAUGCAAGUCGAGCGGUAGCACAGAGAGCUUGCUCUCGGGUGACGAGCGGCGGACGGGUGAGUAAUGUCUGGGAAACUGCCUGAUGGAGGGGGAUAACUACUGGAAACGGUAGCUAAUACCGCAUAACGUCGCAAGACCAAAGUGGGGGACCUUCGGGCCUCAUGCCAUCAGAUGUGCCCAGAUGGGAUUAGCUAGUAGGUGGGGUAACGGCUCACCUAGGCGACGAUCCCUAGCUGGUCUGAGAGGAUGACCAGCCACACUGGAACUGAGACACGGUCCAGACUCCUACGGGAGGCAGCAGUGGGGAAUAUUGCACAAUGGGCGCAAGCCUGAUGCAGCCAUGCCGCGUGUGUGAAGAAGGCCUUCGGGUUGUAAAGCACUUUCAGCGGGGAGGAAGGCGGUGAGGUUAAUAACCUCAUCGAUUGACGUUACCCGCAGAAGAAGCACCGGCUAACUCCGUGCCAGCAGCCGCGGUAAUACGGAGGGUGCAAGCGUUAAUCGGAAUUACUGGGCGUAAAGCGCACGCAGGCGGUCUGUCAAGUCGGAUGUGAAAUCCCCGGGCUCAACCUGGGAACUGCAUUCGAAACUGGCAGGCUAGAGUCUUGUAGAGGGGGGUAGAAUUCCAGGUGUAGCGGUGAAAUGCGUAGAGAUCUGGAGGAAUACCGGUGGCGAAGGCGGCCCCCUGGACAAAGACUGACGCUCAGGUGCGAAAGCGUGGGGAGCAAACAGGAUUAGAUACCCUGGUAGUCCACGCCGUAAACGAUGUCGAUUUGGAGGUUGUGCCCUUGAGGCGUGGCUUCCGGAGCUAACGCGUUAAAUCGACCGCCUGGGGAGUACGGCCGCAAGGUUAAAACUCAAAUGAAUUGACGGGGGCCCGCACAAGCGGUGGAGCAUGUGGUUUAAUUCGAUGCAACGCGAAGAACCUUACCUGGUCUUGACAUCCACAGAACUUUCCAGAGAUGGAUUGGUGCCUUCGGGAACUGUGAGACAGGUGCUGCAUGGCUGUCGUCAGCUCGUGUUGUGAAAUGUUGGGUUAAGUCCCGCAACGAGCGCAACCCUUAUCCUUUGUUGCCAGCGGUCCGGCCGGGAACUCAAAGGAGACUGCCAGUGAUAAACUGGAGGAAGGUGGGGAUGACGUCAAGUCAUCAUGGCCCUUACGACCAGGGCUACACACGUGCUACAAUGGCAUAUACAAAGAGAAGCGACCUCGCGAGAGCAAGCGGACCUCAUAAAGUAUGUCGUAGUCCGGAUUGGAGUCUGCAACUCGACUCCAUGAAGUCGGAAUCGCUAGUAAUCGUAGAUCAGAAUGCUACGGUGAAUACGUUCCCGGGCCUUGUACACACCGCCCGUCACACCAUGGGAGUGGGUUGCAAAAGAAGUAGGUAGCUUAACCUUCGGGAGGGCGCUUACCACUUUGUGAUUCAUGACUGGGGUGAAGUCGUAACAAGGUAACCGUAGGGGAACCUGCGGUUG